AAGAAUGAAGCUAUUUAGCAUUUAACUGUUAAUUAAAAGAUAGCAUUUUGUAUGCCAUUCUU
rnacentral:tRNA from 1 species